rnacentral:rRNA from 1 species
AUGAACAGCUCCGGAUCUGUGGGGAAACUCGAUUUUGAGGUCAAAUUCGAAGGGUGGAAGGUAGGGGAGGUGGUAGAGGGGUGGAUCUACUUGCUAAACACCAAAUUCAUGGAUCAAAUCCAACAAAAUCUCAUCAAACCAACAAAUCAAAAAAAAAAUUGGGGCUAUUUUUGGUGGGGAUUUUCGGAUUUAGGACGAAAACAACAAAAUCAAGCUAGAAAACAAAGAGGGGGGCUCCAAUUUCGUGAGAAACCAAGGCUCAUGAUACCAUAUGAUGUAGGGUGGAACCCUAUAGAGAAGAUCUUUCACGAAUUGAAGGUGGAAUCCUCAAGAACAAUAUGA